AGGCGCGUAGCUCAGUUGGUUAGAGCACCACCUUGACAUGGUGGGGGUCGUUGGUUCGAGUCCAAUCGCGCCUA
rfam:Betaproteobacteria bacterium GR16-43, complete genome.